UAGAGUGCGUCAGGGGUGCUUUUGGAAGCACGGAGCACUCCGUGCUUCCAAGUUGUUUUUGAUGUUGGGACUUUUGAAUCGACGAUUGGCUCCGUUAGACUUGAUCUAGAGUAUUUGAAGUAUCUAGAAAAUAAAUUUUGCGAUUUUUCGAUAUCAUUUGCCUAGUGAUCGAAGUGGCUCAAAAUCAACGGCUGAAAAUAAAAAUCUUACAAAAUAUGAUGAUAUGACAUUAAAAUUUUAGAUCAAAGUUAUUGAUCUUGUUUUAUAUGGUAUAAAGAAUUUUCUAUCAAAAUUUCAUGUGAUUUGGAUAUUUUUACACCGUUAAACUUGCAAACAGCUCACCACGGCCAUUAAAAUUAUUAAUUUUGAGCCUCUUCGAUCACUAGGCAAAUAAUAUCGAAAAAUCGCGAAAUUUAUUUUCUAGGUACUUGAAAUACUCUAGAUCAACUCUAACAGAGCCGAUCGUCGAUUCGAAAGUCCGAACAUCGAAAACAACUUGAAAGCACGGAGGGCUCCGUGCUUCCAGAAGCAUACCAGCCCACUCUCUCUCUCUCUUUCUCUCUCUCUCUCUCUCUCUAUAUAUAUAUAUAUACUAUUUAUAAAAGCGUGAGUUUUGAAUUUUUUUUUUUUUCUAAAAAUGCCUCUAUCUUUUUUAUUAAUAGUUUUAUGUUCAGUAAUUUUCAACCAAUCAUUUCAAAUAAUUCACUAAGUAAUAAUUUAUUCUCAAAUAAAGAUAUUAAUUUUUUGCCAUUAGAUCUUUUCUAACGAUUGAAAAUAAAAGUAUCUGUCACUUUUUGUGACAAUAAUAUCCUUAUUUUUAUAUCACAUUUUUUAUGUACGCGUUUCUCAAAUAUUUUCUUUCUCACUCAUAAUAUACGUACCCAUCAAUCCUUUCUCAACGUAAUAUCCGUAAAUUUUUCAAAUAUCUCAUUAAUCUACCUAUCAUAUAUGUCAACUACCUACAUAAUAUCCGGUUAACCUUUCUCACACGUAAUAUCCACGCAUUUUUCAAAUAUCUCAUCAAAAUUUUAAUCUUUUCUCUUCGUUUCUAAAGAAUUUUUUCAGCCUAUCAUAAUUUUGAAUUAAAUAUAUCAUCGCAUUUGAAUUUAAAUAUUAAAAAGGAUCAAAAUAAAAUUUUAAAUUUUAAAUUAAAUAUGAAUUUUAUUACGAAAAUAUCUCUAUCUUUUUAACUAAUUUUUUUAUGUCGAGGAAUUUUGAGUUCGUCAGAAAUAUAUAAUAUCUCCAUUAUCUUCGCAUUUAAACUUAAAUCUUAAAGUAGAUCAAAAUUAAAUUUUAAAUUAAACAUCAAUUUCUUUUCGAAAAUGUCUCUAUCUUUUUUACUAAUUUUUUCAUCGUCAGAAAUUUUGAACCAUUUUUCUAAAUAAUUCAUUAAAUUUUGGAUUUCUCAAAAAUAUAUAAU
rnacentral:lncRNA from 1 species